rnacentral:rRNA from 1 species
UACAGAGGGUGCGAGCGUUGUUCGGAAUUAUUGGGCGUAAAGCGCGUGUAGGCGGUAACGUAAGUCGGGUGUGAAAGCCCUCAGCUCAACUGAGGAAGUGCGCCCGAAACUACGGAGCUUGAAUGUCGGAGAGGGUGGCGGAAUUCCCGGUGUAGAGGUGAAAUUCGUAGAUAUCGGGAGGAACACCAGAGGCGAAGGCGGCCACCUGGACGAACAUUGACGCUGAGACGCGAAAGCGUGGGUAGCAAACAGG